rnacentral:rRNA from 1 species
CCUGCACCUGCCGGCGACCGGCGCACGGGUGAGUAACACGUAUGGAACCUGCCCGCCACAGGGGGAUAACCCGGGGAAACCCGGCCUAAUACCCCAUGCCGCCCGGACCGGGCAUCCGGUCCGGGCGAAAGGAGGAAUCCGGUGGCGGCUGGGCAUGCGGCGCAUUAGCUUGACGGCGGGGUAACGGCCCACCGAGGCGACGAUGCGUAGGGGUUCUGAGAGGAAGGUCCCCCACACUGGUACUGAGACACGGACCAGACUCCUACGGGAGGCAGCAG